rnacentral:rRNA from 1 species
GCCAGCAGCCAUAUCACCCUGCAGCUCACAGCUGGCACCCCACUGAAUCUCAGCAGGUGUGAGCCUGGUCAGUACCUGGACAGAAGACCCCCUGGGAAAGCUGAGGUUGCUGCUGGAA